UACAGGGGGUGCAAACGUUGCUCGGAAUCAUUGGGCGUAAAGCGCACGUAGGCGGUCUGUUAUGUCGGAUGUGAAAGCCCUCGGCUCAACUGAGGAAGUGCAUCCGAAACUGGCAGGCUAGAGUACUAAAGAGGGUCGCGGAAUUCCCGGUGUAGAGGUGAAAUUCGUAGAUAUCGGGAGGAACACCGGUGGCGAAGGCGGCUUCCUGGACCGAUACUGACGCUGAGGCGCGAAAGCUAGGGGAGCAAACGGG
rnacentral:rRNA from 1 species